rnacentral:rRNA from 1 species
GCUUACGGCCACACCGGCCUGAGUACGCCUGAUCUCGUCCGAUCUCGGAAGCUAAGCAGGGUCGGGCCUGGUUAGUACUUGGAUGGAAGACCGCCUGGGAAUACCAGGUGCUGUAAGCU